rnacentral:rRNA from 1 species
ACCACUUUGUGAUUCAUGACUGGGGUGAAGUCGUAACAAGGUAACCGUAGGGGAACCUGCGGUUGGAUCACCUCCUUACCUUAAAGA